UAAUACAGAGGGUGCGAGCGUUGUCCGGAAUCACUGGGCGUAAAGGGCGCGUAGGCGGCCUGGUUAGUAGGGGGUGAAAUCUUGCGGCUCAACUGCAAGGCUGCCUCCUAAACUGCUAGGCUGGAGCACGGUAGAGGCAGAUGGAAUUCCCGGUGUAGCGGUGGAAUGCGUAGAGAUCGGGAAGAACAUCGGUGGCGAAGGCGGUCUGCUGGGCCGUUGCUGACGCUGAGGCGCGACAGCGUGGGGAGCAAACAGGAUUAGAUACCCUGGUAGUCCACGCCGUAAACGAUGGGUACUAGGCGUCGGGGGGAGCGACCCCUUCGGUGCCGUCGCUAACGCAGUAAGUACCCCGCCUGGGGAGUACGGCCGCAAGGCUG
rnacentral:rRNA from 1 species